GAUGAACGCUGGCGGCGUGCCUAAUACAUGCAAGUCGAGCGAACGGACGAGAAGCUUGCUUCUCUGAUGUUAGCGGCGGACGGGUGAGUAACACGUGGAUAACCUACCUAUAAGACUGGGAUAACUUCGGGAAACCGGAGCUAAUACCGGAUAAUAUUUUGAACCGCAUGGUUCAAAAGUGAAAGACGGUCUUGCUGUCACUUAUAGAUGGAUCCGCGCUGCAUUAGCUAGUUGGUAAGGUAACGGCUUACCAAGGCAACGAUGCAUAGCCGACCUGAGAGGGUGAUCGGCCACACUGGAACUGAGACACGGUCCAGACUCCUACGGGAGGCAGCAGUAGGGAAUCUUCCGCAAUGGGCGAAAGCCUGACGGAGCAACGCCGCGUGAGUGAUGAAGGUCUUCGGAUCGUAAAACUCUGUUAUUAGGGAAGAACAUAUGUGUAAGUAACUGUGCACAUCUUGACGGUACCUAAUCAGAAAGCCACGGCUAACUACGUGCCAGCAGCCGCGGUAAUACGUAGGUGGCAAGCGUUAUCCGGAAUUAUUGGGCGUAAAGCGCGCGUAGGCGGUUUUUUAAGUCUGAUGUGAAAGCCCACGGCUCAACCGUGGAGGGUCAUUGGAAACUGGAAAACUUGAGUGCAGAAGAGGAAAGUGGAAUUCCAUGUGUAGCGGUGAAAUGCGCAGAGAUAUGGAGGAACACCAGUGGCGAAGGCGACUUUCUGGUCUGUAACUGACGCUGAUGUGCGAAAGCGUGGGGAUCAAACAGGAUUAGAUACCCUGGUAGUCCACGCCGUAAACGAUGAGUGCUAAGUGUUAGGGGGUUUCCGCCCCUUAGUGCUGCAGCUAACGCAUUAAGCACUCCGCCUGGGGAGUACGACCGCAAGGUUGAAACUCAAAGGAAUUGACGGGGACCCGCACAAGCGGUGGAGCAUGUGGUUUAAUUCGAAGCAACGCGAAGAACCUUACCAAAUCUUGACAUCCUCUGACCCCUCUAGAGAUAGAGUUUUCCCCUUCGGGGGACAAAGUGACAGGUGGUGCAUGGUUGUCGUCAGCUCGUGUCGUGAGACGUUGGGUUAAGUCCCGCAACGAGCGCAACCCUUAAGCUUAGUUGCCAUCAUUAAGUUGGGCACUCUAAGUUGACUGCCGGUGACAAACCGGAGGAAGGUGGGGAUGACGUCAAAUCAUCAUGCCCCUUAUGAUUUGGGCUACACACGUGCUACAAUGGACAAUACAAAGGGCAGCGAAACCGCGAGGUCAAGCAAAUCCCAUAAAGUUGUUCUCAGUUCGGAUUGUAGUCUGCAACUCGACUACAUGAAGCUGGAAUCGCUAGUAAUCGUAGAUCAGCAUGCUACGGUGAAUACGUUCCCGGGUCU
rnacentral:rRNA from 1 species